CACUCAGUAGCUCAGUUGGUAGAGCAUCGGCCCGGAAUGCCAAAGGUCUGUGGUUCAACUCCCAGGUCAGUGA
rfam:Daphnia pulex DAPPTscaffold_13699_Cont18643, whole genome shotgun sequence.